ensembl:lncRNA
UCAUCGGUCAAGUGUAGCGUACGUGUAGGUUCAGUUUGCGUCUGGCUUCGUGUUUGUCCGGCUGCUGCUGUUUGUGCGCGUAAUGUCUGUUUAGUGUUUGCGUAUCUCGUUACUGAUGUGAAAGUAGCAUUGACACUGAACGGAUUCAAAUGCUUUAAAAAAAAAAAAAAAGAGAGAGAAGAAAAUCACACAUAGACCAACCUAACCUUUUAAUCUUUAUCAUGACCAAAUAGAUAUCAUGACUGUGUAUUAUAUUUACAUAUCAUAUGAAUGAAGUGUAUAGUAAACUGAGAUUUAUUUGACAUUGGUUGAGUUUUAACAAAUAAUAUAAAUGAUCUUGGGAUCACUUUCAUAAAGGGGACCUCUGAGUACAAAUGUACAAAAGAAAGAUGAUUUAUGACGAGAGGUGUGCAAUAAUGGGUCUUGGAAGGGUUUUGUAAAAUUGGCUUGAAGUCGAUGCGUGUUUUAAUCACAUUGCGGUCUUCGUAUAUGGACAGUAUCGAAUCUGUAUAAUUCACCCGCGUUUCCUUAAUUCAGCGUUUCCAGUUACUGUCGAUUUAGGCUGAAAGUAAGUCCGUAAACUUGAACAGAAUCUCAGAAGAUCUUUGUAUUUCAUCUGUUUCCUUUUCAACUUUCCUUUGCUAUGUCAUGAUCUGGUUUCAGUUUCUGAUCAGUAAUUUGACCUCUAAAUCAAAAGAAAAGAAACAAAGCCUAUUCUUCUAUCUUUAUAUUCUACCAAUGUAAUAUGUGUACAGUGUGGCACUUUUGUGAACUUUGUAUCGUGUUACGAGAUUGUACUGUCUGAAGUUGACAAUUUGAUGAAAAAAAAAACCAAACAAACAACAACAACAAAAAAAAAAACAAAUCUGUAAAUAUUUCUCAAAAUACACACGCUGAUGUUCUCUUUGAAGCUUUUCAGUCAUUUUCUCGAAACAGAUUUGAUUGUGUAGAUUCUUAAUUGCAGUGUAUAGUUUUGGACAGAAAAUAGAUUUGAAGAAUAACCAGAAGGUUGAAAUAAAGAUCUUCAAACAACGAGAACUGGCGAAAUGAUUUUGUGUC